AAACGAAUCCGGCAAAUUCACACACGUGUCAGCACGUUGUCCCAGGGUGCCGGCUCCUGUUAGAGGAGGCUGGUUGGGGCAAUCGGACGCGUGGAGGACUAAC
rnacentral:sRNA from 1 species